rnacentral:rRNA from 1 species
AUUGAACGCUGGCGGCAGGCCUAACACAUGCAAGUCGAACGGUAACAGGAAGCAGCUUGCUGCUUUGCUGACGAGUGGCGGACGGGUGAGUAAUGUCUGGGAAACUGCCUGAUGGCGGGGGAUAACUACUGGAAACGGUAGCUAAUACCGCAUAACGUCGCAAGACCAAAGAGGGGGACCUUAGGGCCUCUUGCCAUCGGAUGUGCCCAGAUGGGAUUAGCUAGUAGGUGGGGUAACGGCUCACCUAGGCGACGAUCCCUAGCUGGUCUGAGAGGAUGACCAGCCACACUGGAACUGAGACACGGUCCAGACUCCUACGGGAGGCAGCAGUGGGGAAUAUUGCACAAUGGGCGCAAGCCUGAUGCAGCCAUGCCGCGUGUAUGAAGAAGGCCUUCGGGUUGUAAAGUACUUUCAGCGGGGAGGAAGGGAGUAAAGUUAAUACCUUUGCUCAUUGACGUUACCCGCAGAAGAAGCACCGGCUAACUCCGUG